rnacentral:misc_RNA from 1 species
ACAGGGUCGUCAGUCGGCGCC